rnacentral:rRNA from 1 species
AAAGGAGUGAUCCGGCAGAGGAUGGACAUGCGGCGCAUUAGCUAGUCGGCGGGGUAACGGCCCACCGAGGCUACGAUGCGUAGGGGUUCUGAGAGGAAGGUCCCCCACACUGGUACUGAGACACGGACCAGACUCCUACGGGAGGCAGCAGUGAGGAAUAUUGGUCAAUGGGCGGAAGCCUGAACCAGCCAAGUCGCGUGAGGGAAGACGGUCCUAUGGAUUGUAAACCUCUUUUGCAGGGGAGCAAGGCGCGGUACGUGUACCGCGAAGGAGAGUACCCUGAGAAAAAGCAUCGGCUAACUCCGUGCCAGCAGCCGCGGUAAUACGGAGGAUGCGAGCGUUAUCCGGAUUUAUUGGGUUUAAAGGGUGCGCAGGCGGACUGUUAAGUCAGCGGUAAAAUGUCGGUGCUCAACACCGGCCGGCCGUUGAAACUGGCAGCCUUGAGUGAGCGAGAAGUAUGCGGAAUGCGUGGUGUAGCGGUGAAAUGCAUAGAUAUCACGCAGAACUCCGAUUGCGAAGGCAGCAUACCGGCGCUCAACUGACGCUCAGGCACGAAAGCGUGGGUAUCGAACAGGCUUAGAUACCCUGGUAGUCCACGCAGUAAACGAUGAAUGCUCACUGUCCGGGCCGUUUAAGGCCUGG